GCUUUCACAAAAUUAUUAAGAAGCGCAACUGUUUUCAACAUUAAUAAUAAUAAGAAGAGAUAUUUCUUGAUCACCAAAUUAGGAUUAGAUCAUGUGACACUGAAGACUGGAGUAACGACUGCUAAAAAUCUGCUUUUCCAUCCCAGGAAUAAAUGACAUUUUACAAUUUAAAUUAAAUUUCAUAAUAUUACUGAACUUUUUUACUUUUGAAAAUUUGUGUGUGUGUGUACACACAGUUAAACUAAAUGGCUACUUAUUUGAUACAUGUGUGAUAUGCAAGAUAUGAUUUGGUCAUGUGAGUGAUGGUGAAAAUUCAAUAGAUAAAGCUAAAAAGCUUGGAACAACCUUUGUUCUCAGUUUGUUCAUUCAUUCACCAGUGUGAAUGCUAGACUAUCAAUAUUUACAGUUAUUAUAUUAUAGAAUUGUUUGUGUUUGUAUCUGACAGUGUUUGCUCAUAUUGAGAGAAAACAGAAAAUGGGAGAAGCAAAAGUUUUCCAAAGCAAAAACACAUACUUGAAACUUAUUUAAACAUUUUUAUCCAAAAUAAUUCCUUGCUACAUAAUAUUUUAUUAUUAUUUGUAUAUUUUUUUAAUUUCUGUAGCCUGUCACAGUACUAACAAAACAGUAGACCGUAAAAAUUAUAAAUAAUAUCUAUUUUUUUUCCUUCACUCUUGGUUGAAGUAAGCAAUAAAAUGUGCUGAUAAAAUGGAGAAAUUAGGAUUUUGUCCCUUGAGGAGUCUGUGGGAGAAAAAUUUAUAUAAGUUAUGAUUUCUGGGAAAAUACUCAUUUUAUAUCUUUACCUUAGAGGAAUGGCAUUUUGAGUCUAUUCAAUUUUAUAGCUAACAUGCACAUAGUGUGAAAGAUUUAAUCUCUUUUGGAAGACUGAGGAUCUCAGAUCACACUUUUGACCCCACAGAGAAUGAUCUCUGUUCUCGACAGUCCAGGGCUGGACUUGGCACAUAUGGAAGCUAGCAGCUACUUUUCUGCUAAUGCUCUUUCUCUUGUUUAUUUCUCUCCAUGGCAUGAUGUUACACAGAUAAGUGGUCUCCAGCCUUGCAGAUCCGCACAGUGCUGCUAUCAAUCCAGGCAUUACUAAGCGCUCCCAACCCUGAUGAUCCUCUAGCAAACGACGUCGCAGAGCAGUGGAAGUCUAACGAAGCUCAAGCCAUAGAGACAGCCCGAACAUGGACCAGGCUUUAUGCCGGAAACAAUAUUGAAGUCUAGAAAUCUAUGUGGGGAGACAAAAAGAAAAAAAAAAAAAAAAAAAAAAAGGAAGUGAAGAGUGAAAACAACUCCAUGUUCUGCCAAGACCUAUUCAUUUUCAUGUAAAGGACACAGUCUUAGGAAACAAAAAAUUAUGAUAAACUGUAAAGAUAUAUUAAGACAAAAGUAAAAAAGAAAACUUCAGGCAAUUUGUGAUUUAAAUGCACAUUAGUACGAAAAAAUGUCUUUGUCCUGAUUCACUGCAGUUGAGAUGCAUGGGCAGAUGAUCUACUCGUACGGCUUUCUUUCACAGUGGUUUGAGGUAGCCGCGGACCUCUGCUAUGAAGCGUGCAUUAAAACUUACUCUCAUUUGUUUGUCCAUUUUUUUUUUUUUUUUUUUUUUUUUUUGUGGGAAGGGGGUAACUUUUUAUAUUUCUUUUAACAUAUUUUCUUCUCAUUGCUUUUUUUUUUUUUAAUUAAUGAGGAGCAGCAGACUAGCCCCCAUUUAGAGCACCCUUUCUGUCAGACUGCAGACUUACCUUGAUAGAAAACCUAGCAAAAAAGUGUAAGUUCACUAAAAACGGAAAAGAGACGCCAGAUUUUAAACCACAUGCAAACAGUAAUUUCUCCAGGGAAAUGGUUCAACUGGAAAGUCCUUCCACCAUCACAGAAACAGUUAAAGAUGUAAAACAUAAUGUAGCCUUAAUUUAUGUUUUGGACUACGGGCAAGGUAGAGCUAGAGUGAAGAGAGAUUUUGCGUAAUAUUUGUUUUAGUAUAACAAUUCUGUAAAUGUAUCCGGUUUUAGUGUUUUGUUUUAUCUAUCUUGGCAUCGCUGUACUAAUUGCACUCUUGAAACUCCAUCAUUGCGUGCUUUUUAUUUUCUUGUGUCCAUCACAGUCCAGUGCAUUGAGAUUCAUUUGUCUGUUUCUUCCCUUAAGCAUUUAUUUUGAAACGCCAUGGUUGCAGGGGGGGGGUCUGGAGUCGAAUGAUGAAUUGUGAGAUUUUAGUAAAGGGGUGAGGGGUGGGAAUGUUUGCAGAAACAUUGCGAAAGAUCAAUAAAGGCUUUGUCUCAAUUCCCAUGAUUGGUCUUUUGUUAAAGUCAAUUUCAACUGUGUUUGUAAGUUCCUGCUUUCUAUGGAAAGGGGGAAAAGAUCCUGCUUUUUAAAAUGUGAUGACAACAGGCCACACACAUAUUUCUGUUCUUUCUGUAAAUAAAAUCUGUUGAUUAAUAAGAAA